AACGUAGGAGACAAACGUUAUCCGGAAUUACUGGGCGUAAAGGGCGUGUAGGUGGUUGCGUAAGUCUGGCGUGAAAUUUUUCGGCUUAACCGGGAAAGGUCGUCGGAUACUGCGUAACUAGAGGACGGUAGAGGCGUGUGGAAUUCCGGGUGUAGUGGUGAAAUGCGUAGAGAUCCGGAGGAACACCAGUGGCGAAGGCGACACGCUGGGCCGUACCUGACACUGAACCGCGACAGCAUGGGGAGCAAACAGG
rnacentral:rRNA from 1 species